rnacentral:lncRNA from 1 species
CUACCAUUGCCAAAAACAGGGGGAGGCAAGCAGCUGUGGGACCAGGGAGCUGAGGAGGCCUCGGUCUGUGCUGAGGAAGAGACAGACAGUUAGGAUGGCCCAGGCAGGGCCAGGGCAGACGCACCCAUCCCCACAGCUGUGACAAGGUCCUUCCUGCAGGGUCGCCUUGGUGUGGAGGCCAAACCCCACAGUCCCCCUGCCUGCUGGUCCCGGUCCCUCCUCAGCCCCCUCUUCUCCCUUCCCCUCAUGUUUGUAACCUGCAGUCCCUGUGAGCAGGCAUGGCCAGACACCAUCCCUAGGGCAACAACCAGGAUCCAACCCAGGCCCCAGCUGUGGUCACCACUCCCAGGGGAACCCGAGGGCACCUCCACUCCCAGCACCUGACUGCAGGGACUCUGGGAACCAGCACAAGCCAGGCCAGAGAGCCCUGCCCCCGGGCACUGGGGAAGAGAGGGCUAAUGUGGGCUGGGUUUUGCUAUUUACUAAGCCCAUGUGACUGCCCCAUUUAAUCCCGGGAGAUGCUCCCAAGCCAUUCCCCAGAGCCUAAAGCUCACAGGCUGCCCACCCCAAAGGGAGAGAGGGGAGGUGCUGCACAAAACAUUCCUCCUCCCUAUCAAGUCCAAGGGAGGAAGAGCAUUCCAUUGCCAAGGCCUCUUCUCUAAAAGCAGUGGACAAACAGUGGGGCUGGGACCUUCUACCCAGGAAUGGGCCAAGCUAAAACCAACCAAAUACCUCCCCAUCCAGAGGGCAUUCUCCUGACCACAGAACCCACUGCACACAGCCAGCUGCCCAUGCACACCCAGACCCUUUGAGGGCUGGCUGCGAUCUGAUUCUCAGAGUGGCAUUUCCCCAGACCACCAGUCGCUUACCCAAGGACAGCACACUUCUGUGUUCUCACUUCCCCUGAUGAGGCCAGGUCCUUUCCCAACGGGUGUUGAAGCCCCCUGAAGGCAUCUCAAGUCUUUAGUAAGGGUGCAGGCUGCCUGCCCCCACCCUGCACCCCCAUGCCUCCCCUGCAACCUGGAAGGAACUCUUUGCCCUCAAGCCUCCUGGGCAGUAUGAGCCCACCAUAAGCAGGCUCAUUCCCAAACAAGCCCCAGCUCGGGGAGCAGCUGACUUGGCAGUACCACUGAGAUGCCGCCACCGCCCCUUGCAUCCUCCCUGACCUUUAGGGUGGAGUGAGAUGGGAUGAUGGCUUAAGAUGCAAACAGAUGGCUGGGCGCGGUGGCUCACGCCUGUAAUCCCAGCACUUUGGGAGGCCGGGGUGGGUGGAUCACGAGGUCAGGAG